ACUGGUAGAGGAGCGGUCUUCAACAGUACCACAUUAUCACGGCAGGGGCCAGAUGUGGGAAAGGGGAUACCGCCGAAGGAUUUCUUUUUGCCCCUUGCAAAGGCAAUCCUGGGCCGGCAUAAAAUAUGUGCCGGACUGUCACAAAUAAAGUGGAGCGCUACCA
rnacentral:ncRNA from 1 species